UACAGAGGUGGCAAGCGUUGUUCGGAAUUACUGGGCGUAAAGGGUUCGUAGGUGGCUUGCUAAGUCAGACGUGAAAUCCCUCAGCUUAACUGGGGAACUGCGUCUGAUACUGGCGAGCUUGAGUGCAGGAGAGGAACGCGGAAUUCCAGGUGUAGCGGUGAAAUGCGUAGAUAUCUGGAGGAACACCGGUGGCGAAGGCGGCGUUCUGGACUGCAACUGACACUGAUGAACGAAAGCCAGGGGAGCAAACGGG
rnacentral:rRNA from 1 species